rnacentral:lncRNA from 1 species
GUAUGAUGAAAUGGCUCACCUAGUAGUUUUCCCAGAACUAAGGAAUAGUCCUUACCCAAAUAUAUUUAGGUGUAUACUUCUUGCAAGACAUAAAAUUGCUUGCAUCUUUGAAAAGGCAGGUUUUCAGAAGCAUCUUCCUCGUUUGUAUGCCUUGAAGAAGAAAUUCAGCCAGGAUACCUUGGUAUGGUAAGAAAUAUUUUUGAACAAAAGACAUGUUUUUGAAUCUUUUACUCUAGCUACCAUUUCCCCUCACAUUUAGACUGUCCCCAGAAAGUGAAUUCUCUUUCUGCUUGGAAGCACUGUGCUUAUAGAAGCAACCCUGCUCUGUAAAUAAUGCUGUAAUGGUGCCACCUGUCGGGAAAUAGGGACAUUACAAGGGGAGCCUCAGGGAAUUUAUGGCUUUCACUUCAACAAGCACUAUCAGAUGCCUGCUAAAGUCCUGGCUCUCUGUCAAAUGGUGGGUGGCAAGGAGAGAAGAGAAAGUAAAUAAAUAGAAUGUAUAUGAAGAAUGUAAAAAACAACUGCAAUAUACUCCUGACUUGUCUCCCCUGGCCUUGCUCACAUACCUUUCAUCCGAAGGUUAAUCUUCCUAAACCAGAGCUCUGAACAUUCAUUCUUCUCGAAAUCUGUGUGUCCCUAGUGCUUCUUAAACUAAGUUUAAAAUCCAGUGGGCGUGGGGAGUCAAGGUCCUCCCUAAUUAGGCCCGGAAUAUUUUUUAACCUAUAUAUUUCAUUUCUCAACUACAUCUUCUAGACACCAUCCCACCAGGUAAGAAGCCCAUAUCAUCCCAGUCAAAGCUGGAAAUGAUUCCCAGGGGUAUCCCAGUUUCUUUAAUCCCUGAGUGAGCCAUCUAAAUGAGCGCCCUCUGGCCUCAAUUCCGUAUCUCUCAGUCAUGCUUCCCAAGUGCAGUCAGAUGCACAUCUCCUCCAGAAAAAGGACUUCUGCAGCCUGGGCCACCUGCACCAGCCUCUCAGAGGUGUUCCCCACCUCCCCUUGCCCCUUUUCCCUCUCUCACGCUGUGAAUGGGAAAUCCCCAGAAAUAGCAUGUAAAACUUUUUGACUAUGAAUUUGUGCUUUUAUUUCAAGGAAUAGGGUUCAUAAUUUUCAUCAAAUUAUUAAUGAAGCCUGUAAAGUCAGAAAGGGUAACUAACUCUAGUUAAAAUGUGCAUGCUACUCACCAUUUCCCAGAAAUGCCCCUCAUUUUCCUGCAUCUGGUUUUCUGGUCAUUCUCUUUACUUUCCUGCUCCAUCAUGUCUCUGUUAGUUAGAACUCUACCGGUUCUCUAAAGCCUUUCUCUAAUGCUACCUCCAUCAUGGAGCCUUUCCUGAUGUGAUCUCUUCCUCCUUAAAAUGUCCAAAUCUUUUUCUUUGUACCUAUUUGGAGCAUGGUAACUGUAUUUUGCCUUACUUCUAUUAUUCCUCAUGUGCUUUUAUAUUCUCCCUUCUGGAUUAUCAGUUAUCUUGAGAGCUGGAACUGCUUUCUCAUUUUUAUAGUCUCUGAAGUAUCUAUUUUAUUGACUUUAAGGCACAAUUGACUGUAUGGCAUCCUAUUUUAGGUACCAUUAAGAAAGGAAAAAACACUGUCAAAUUAUCGCUAUGCUUUCUUAUAUUUAUAUUUUAAAGUUUCAUUCUUAAAGAACUCUUUUAGAGUUGCUUAGAAAUAGAACUUAAAAAAAUCACUACUAUGCACUGAAAUAACUGAGUCAUUAUGGUAUUAUUUAAUUUUUUUCACACUGAGUCUGACACUUGAAUCACUUUUUGACUCAGAAUAUUUGAUGUAUUUUCCCAUGCAUUUCUAUUCUCUGGGCCAUUUUGAGUAUUAGUGAAGUGGCAUUUCUUAUAAAGAAAAAAAAGUCCUCU